UACGUAGGGACAAGCGUUGUCCGGAAUUAUUGGGCGUAAAGCGCGUGUAGGCGGCCAAGUAAGUCUACGUGAAAUCCUGAGGCUCACCUCAGCCUGCGCGGGAUACUGCUUGGCUAGAGUCCGGAAGAGGAGAGUGGAAUUCCUGGUGUAGCGGUGGAAUGCGCAGAUAUCAGGAGGAACACCGGUGGCGAAGGCGGGAUCCUGGCCAGUACUG
rnacentral:rRNA from 1 species